CAGGACCUUGCCUCCAUGCCUAUCCUGUCAGCCAAGAGUUUAUGAUUGCAGAGGCAUUAGGGCCUUUGUUGGCAGGACUGGGGACUGGGGUUCAGCCUUGAGGUUGUGGUUGGUGUGAUAGGAUGAGCUUAUGACAUGAUUCACCACCACAGUGUUCAUGGCUGGGGAAGCAUUUGUCCCAUUCCUGGUGUAAUUGGUGUGGGUGAGGCUGGAGUCCAAGUCUUGCAACUGCCUGGAGUUGAUUGCCUUGCAUACUUAGCAGUGGCUGUUUUCCGUGGAUAUUUGCAGGAGAUCCAUUCCUUUUUGGAAGACGGCCUGUACAGAAUGACCAGACACAAGGCAAAUGGUUGCUCGUAAGAACACCUGCCAUCUUUUCCUCGCAUUUUCCAUUCUGAGCCCAGCGUCCGAUGUGUGCUGCUCG
rnacentral:lncRNA from 1 species